rnacentral:rRNA from 1 species
AUUGAACGCUGGCGGCAGGCCUAACACAUGCAAGUCGAACGAGUGGCGGACGGGUGAGUAAUGUCUGGGAAACUGCCCGAUGGAGGGGGAUAACUACUGGCAACGGUAGCUAAUACCGCAUACCAUCGGAUGUGCCCCGAUGGCAUUAGCUAGUAGGUGGGGUAACGGCUCACCGAGGCGACGAUCCCUAGCUGGUCUGAGAGGAUGACCAGCUAGACGGGAACUGAGACACGGUCCAGACUCCUACGCGAGGCAGCAGUGGGGAAUAUUGCAGAAUGGGCGAAAGCCUGAUCGAGCCAUGCCGCGUGUAUGAAGAAGGCCUUCGGGUUGUAAAGUACUUUCAGCGGGGAGGCGUUACCCGCAGAAGAAGCACCGGCUAACUCCGUGCCAGCAGCCGCGGUAAUUC